AUGCGUUCAGCUCGCGACCUCCGCCUCGCGGUCUCGGCCCUCCUCCUCCUCCUCCUGCUUUCAGCCGGCGUCCUGGCGGCAAGAGCCCAGCAUGAAAUCGACGAUGAGUCAGAGUUCAACUACAUCCGCGGGUCCAAGAACGGGCCGGAGAACUGGGGCAAGAUCAAGGAGGAGUGGGCGACGUGCGGUACCGGGCAGAUGCAGUCGCCUAUCGACCUCUCCGACCACCGUACCUCACGGGCACCCAAUCUCGGCUACCUCAACCACUCCUACCUCCCUGUAGAGGCCUCCAUCGUCAACCGCGGCCACGACAUCAUGGUCAAGUUCAACGGCGACGCCGGGAGCCUGUGGAUCAACGGCACCGCGUACCACCUCAGGCAGGUUCACUGGCACUCCCCCAGCGAGCACCGUGUAAACGGACGCCGGUACAACCUCGAGCUUCACAUGGUUCACCUCAGCGCCGAGAACAAGACUGCCGUGAUCGGCAUCCUCUACAAGAUCGGCAGGCGCGACCAUUUCCUCCACGAGCUCGAGUCUUACCUGCGGAGGAUAGCAGACACCAAGGAGAAGGAGGAGAUGGUAGGCGUGGUGGAUCCCUGGGAGGCGAGGGGAGAUGGCGAAGCCUACUAUCGGUACAUGGGCUCCCUCACAACGCCGGCGUGCGACGAGGGGGUCAUCUGGACCGUCAUCAAGAGGGGCUUUGAGAUGAAUGCGAGACCCCUUCAGAAGGUGAACGGAAGAGAUAUCAGCUUUUUCUGCCCUGAUGAUCACCAUGAGCGCUAUUACGCUGCUGCUGAUCAGUAA
rnacentral:rRNA from 1 species